UUCCGGUUGAUCCUGCCGGACCUGACUGCUAUCGGAUUGAUACUAAGCCAUGCGAGUCUUUGCAGUAAUGCAAGGCAUACGGCUCAGUAACACGUAGUCAACUUACCCUAUGGACGAGGAUAAUCUCGGGAAACUGAGCAUAAUACUCGAUAGAUCAUAAUGCCUGGAAUGGUUUAUGGUUGAAAUGAUUCGUCGCCAUAGGAUGGGACUGCGGCCUAUCAGCUUGUUGGUGAGGUAAUGGCCCACCAAGGCGAUUACAGGUACGGGCUCUGAGAGGAGAAGCCCGGAGAUGGGUACUGAGACAAGGACCCAGGCCCUAUGGGGCGCAGCAGGCGAGAAAACUUUGCAAUGUGCGAAAGCACGACAAGGUUAAUCCGAGUGAUUUCUGCUAAAGAAAUCUUUUGCAAGUCAUAAAACCACUAGUGAAUAAGGGGUGGGCAAGUUCUGGUGUCAGCCGCCGCGGUAAAACCAGCACCUCAAGUGGUCAGGAGGAUUAUUGGGCCUAAAGCAUCCGUAGCCGGCUCUGUAAGUUUUCGGUUAAAUCCAUGUGCUCAACGCAUGGGCUGCCGAAAAUACUGCAUAGCUAGGGAGUGGGAGAGGUAGACGGUACUCGGUAGGAAGGGGUAAAAUCCUUUGAUCUAUCGAUGACCACCUGUGGCGAAGGCGGUCUACCAGAACACGUUCGACGGUGAGGGAUGAAAGCUGGGGGAGCAAACCGGAUUAGAUACCCGGGUAGUCCCAGCUGUAAACGAUGCAGACUCGAUGAUGCAUUGGCAUAUAGCCAGUGCAGUGUCGCAGGGAAGCCGUUAAGUCUGCCGCCUGGGAAGUACGUACGCAAGUAUGAAACUUAAAGGAAUUGGCGGGGGAGCACCACAAGGGGUGAAGCCUGCGGUUCAAUUGGAAUCAACGCCGGA
rnacentral:rRNA from 1 species